CAGGCCUAACACAUGCAAGUCGAGCGGCAGCACCUCGGGUGGCGAGCGGCGCACGGGUGAGUAACGCGUAUGUAACCUGCCCAUGAGUGGGGGAUAGCCCGGUGAAAACCGGAUUAAUACCCCAUGAUACCAAUGUCUGACAUCACUUAUUGGUUAAAGAUUCAUUGCUCAUGGAUGGACAUGCGUUGGAUUAGCUGGUUGGCGGGGCAACGGCCCACCAAGGCGACGAUCCAUAGGGGUUCUGAGAGGAAGGUCCCCCACAUUGGUACUGAGACACGGACCAAACUCCUACGGGAGGCAGCAGUGAGGAAUAUUGGUCAAUGGGCGGAAGCCUGAACCAGCCAAGUCGCGUGAAGGAUGAAGGUAUUAUGUAUUGUAAACUUCUUUAGCUGUGGAGAAAUAAGGUGGUCGAGACCACCGAUGCUAGUACACAGAGAAUAAGGAUCGGCUAACUCCGUGCCAGCAGCCGCGGUAAUACGGAGGAUCCGAGCGUUAUCCGGAUUCAUUGGGUUUAAAGGGAGCGUAGGCGGAAGAUCAAGUCAGCUGUGAAAUGUAGACGCUCAACGUCUGCACUGCAGUUGAAACUGGUUUUCUUGAGUGCGUAAGGGGCAGGCGGAAUUCGUCGUGUAGCGGUGAAAUGCUUAGAUAUGACGAAGAACUCCGAUCGCGAAGGCAACUUGCCGGGCCGCAACUGACGCUGAAGCUCGAAGGUGCGGGUAUCGAACAGGAUUAGAUACCCUGGUAGUCCGCACAGUAAACGAUGGAUACUCDCUGUCGGCGAUAUACGGUCGGUGGCCAAGCGAAAGCGUUAAGUAUCCCACCUGGGGAGUACGCCGGCAACGGUGAAACUCAAAGGAAUUGACGGGGGCCCGCACAAGCGGAGGAACAUGUGGUUUAAUUCGAUGAUACGCGAGGAACCUUACCCGGGCUUGAAUUGCUAACGACGGUUACUGGAGACAGUUUCCUUCCUUCGGGACGUUAGUGAAGGUGCUGCAUGGUUGUCGUCAGCUCGUGCCGUAAGGUGUCGGCUCAAGUGCCAUAACGAGCGCAACCCUUGCCGUUAGUUGCCAUCAGGUUAAGCUGGGCACUCUAUCGGGACUGCCAUCGUAAGAUGUGAGGAAGGUGGGGAUGACGUCAAAUCAGCACGGCCCUUAUGUCCGGGGCUACACACGUGUUACGAUGGGGAGUACAGAGGGCAGCCACCCGGCGACGGGGCGCCAAUCCGCGAAAUCUCCUCUCAGUUCGGACUGGAGUCUGCAACCCGACUCCACGAAGCKGGAUUCGCUAGUAAUCGCGCAUCAGCCAUGGCGCGGURRWWRCAWUCCCGG
rnacentral:rRNA from 1 species